GCUGCCAUACCCGGUAUCAGUAUCAGCUGCCAUACCCGGUAUCAGUAUCAGCUGCCAUACCCGGUAUCAGUAUCAGCUGCCAUACCCGGUAUCAGUAUCAGCUGCCAUACCCGGUAUCAGUAUCAGCAGCCAUACCCGGUAUCAGUAUCAGCAGCCAUACCCGGUAUCAGUAUCAGCAGCCAUACCUGGAAUUUGAGGGUUGCCUCUUCCUUCUCUCCAUCCGGGACCCGGUCCGGGUGUACCUGCAGGGACACCUUGUGAUAGCCCCGGCGGAUCUCCCCAUCCCUGGACUCUCUCCGGACACUCAAUACCGUGUACAGGUCCGAGGAGCCGAACAAGGACUGGCAGCUCUCCAGCAGGGCCGGCAUCUUGCUCUGACCGUGUACUCAGCUACGGAAACCCCGAGCAGCCAAACUGGAGACAAGGCAGCACAGCUUACAGAUUUCCCGCCAUGCGUCACUUCCGCGAUGCUUCAAC